GUCAGUAACCCAGCCCUAAAGGGACUGGGCUUGCAAGAGUAAUCAAGCAAGCCGUACUGACCAGACCACCCUGAGUUUACUCUCAUGGUAGCCGUUAUUUGAGUCACGACACCCCGGAAUGCGAAGCUAGUUCCCUGCUCUGUCGCUUGUGAUUAAACAGUUCUAAGGUCACUGGAACAGUGUUGCAAGCCUAACAAGCUCUUAUAACAGGUCGAAGCUAACAUUAC
rfam:Aphanizomenon flos-aquae 2012/KM/D3 mira_27_len:23756, whole genome shotgun sequence.